rnacentral:rRNA from 1 species
UGAGGAAUCUUGCGCAAUGGGGGCAACCCUGACGCAGCAACGCCGCGUGAGUGAGGAAGGUCUUCGGAUCGUAAAGCUCUGUCAGAUGGAAAGAACCGCAUGGGGGUGAAUAGCCCCUUUGUCUGACGGUACCAUCAAAGGAAGCACCGGCUAACUCCGUGCCAGCAGCCGCGGUAAUACGGGGGGUGCAAGCGUGGUUCGGAAUUAUUGGGCGUAAAGAGCGUGUAGGCGGCCUGAUGUGUCAGAUGUGAAAUCCCUGAGCUCAACUCAGGAAGUGCAUUUGAAACUGUCAGGCUCGAGUAGGGGAGAGGGAAGUGGAAUUCCUGGUGUAGAGGUGAAAUUCGUAGAUAUCAGGAGGAACACCGGUGGCGAAGGCGACUUCCUGGCCCUAUACUGACGCUGAGACGCGAGAGCGUGGGUAGCAAACA